GGCGCUAUAGCCAAGUGGUUACGGCGACAGAUUCGAACUCCAGUUCUGAUCAUCUGUUCCUCUUUGAGGGCGCAGGUUCAAAUCCUGCUGGCGUCG